GACGAACGCUGGCGGCGUGCUUAACACAUGCAAGUCGAACGGAAAGGCCCUGCUUUUGUGGGGUGCUCGAGUGGCGAACGGGUGAGUAACACGUGAGUAACCUGCCCUUGACUUUGGGAUAACUUCAGGAAACUGGGGCUAAUACCGUAUAGGAGCUCCUGCUGCAGGGUGGGGGUUGGAAAGUUUCGGCGGGUGGGGAUGGACUCGCGGCUUAUCAGCUUGUUGGUGGGGUAGUGGCUUACCAAGGCUGUGACCGGUGGCCGGCCUGAGAGGGUGACCGGCCACAUUGGGACUGAGAUACGGCCCAGACUCCUACGGGAGGCAGCAGUGGGGAAUAUUGCACAAUGGGCGGAAGCCUGAUGCAGCAACGCCGCGUGCGGGAUGACGGCCUUCGGGUUGUAAACCGCUUUCGCCUGUGACGAAGCGUGAGUGACGGUAAUGGGUAAAGAAGCACCGGCUAACUACGUG
rnacentral:rRNA from 1 species